GCCCGCUUCGGCGGCCACGCCCCCAGCGGGGAGCCGGUCCACGUGGGGCGGGACAGCCCCCUCCCUGCGGCCUCGCCCUGGAGUCUCGGCACCGUCUGGCCCCGCCGGCUGAUUACAGCCAGAGAUCGAGGGGGACCUCGCUGUCCCCCUAGAGGCCGUCAUGCGGGGUUACAGAGGCUGCGACCAAAGUCAUUCCUAGCUCCUCUCUCGGGGCUCCGGAAAGCCGUCCGCGCCUCCAGCCGCACUUUCAGCGCACGCAGGACCUGCCGCGCCCGGUGGCCACACCCGUCCCUCUGCCGGGUGACGCUGCGGGAGAUCUUGCGCCCUGGGGCUCCGGAUCCAGUUCUGGCACGUUGUUGCACCUGUGACUUGUCCUUGGCCUGGCACUGUCCCUCGCCUGGGGGAAGCGGGGGGGUGGGGGGGGGAUGCUCACGUGGUCGCUUUGCUCCCGCAGUCAUGCACUUGGGUGAAAACAGACUGAAGAGUCACGGGAACCAGCUUGUCUCCCCAGUUAUGGCGCAGAGCUGCAAGGAUGGCUGUGGGUCAUUAAUUUCUCCGUGGCUGACCUGUGUUUGUAACGCCGCAGCUGUUGCGAGGGGGAAGGACACUGCUUCGGAUUCAAAUUCUGACUCCUUGCUGCAGUGUGUCACCUUGAGCCAGUCCCAGAUCUCUGCGUUCUCACAAUUGUAAAAUGUUAACAGAGGCUGCCUACCUUGUGGCUGGAAUUAAAUGAAUUAACGUGUGUGAAUGUGACUAGAAUUCAGUACAUGUUCAGGAAAAGCUGAUUUCCGCUUUGCUGUUACCGUGAAUAUUACUGUUUUAGGGUGUAGAAAAGGGUGGAAGGGGAUGUUAUUGCAUCCUGGAAGCUUAUCCUUUUGAGGUAAAGAUUGAUUUCUGGUCCCCUGCGUGGUAUAUAGUGUAGUUUUGACAUUAUUUAGAUGUGUUAUGCACAUUUGGGUGUUGAUUAUAUGGCUUACGAUCAAGACUAACCAGUCAUGCCGUGGGAGAUUAAGGUCGUGGUCUCUUGUCAGGAUUGUAGUGAGAUUUAAAAAUUCCAGCCAGAAAUACCAGGCUUAGAAUGCUCUGAAGCCCUCCCCACAUUUUUGCCAUCUCUAGCAGGAGGGCACUGCAUAGCAGAAACAAAGACGUUGUAAAUUGUUGCUGCCUGAGUCAUUUAUAGAGGCUUAAACAACCUGAAUGUCCUCUGACCUACCUGUAACAUUUGAUGGAGUUGUAUGAGUAACUUACAAAGCUGUAGGUCCCAAGGUCGGUCUGAAAAAGAAAGUUCAUAUCCGGGAGCACUGACCCCGUAGUGUAAUCCUGGCACCUUAAAACGUACUGCUCCCUCCACCUUCACUUCAAGGUUAUGAAAACAUUGAGUAAAAGGGAUGAUCUGUUCAAAGUCCUUAGUGUUCUGCCAAUUUAAAACAGUAAUUUUCAAAGCAGUUAUUUGCAAGGAAAUUGCCUAGAACUUCUCCCAGUGUGCGGUUGUUUUGUGUGUUUGUGUGUGUGUUUUGUUUGUUUGUUUUCAGUCUGUCCACAGGCGUACUUUUAUAGGUCUGUGAUAGUAGGUAGCUCUUCAAGUUGGCAAACACCUGCUGGACAACCCCUGAGAGAUUCAUCUGAGUGAGAGAGCACUCUCCAGCCCCAUCGGAGUGGGUUUGCAGGGAAAUCAUAAGGAAGAAAUCCUUAUCUUUCCAACACUGAGAUGCUUCUGCCGAAGAGUAGAAUGGGAGGUGAGGAAUUGGGGUGGGCCCUCACUGCUUUGCCUCCGGAUCAGUAGGGUACAGCCCUUGGAGACCAGGAUCUUCCUUGGCUGGGACACCUUCGUCCUCCCCUAAGGGAGGAGAGUGAGGGGACACGCAAAACGGGCUGCUGCCGGAGGAAGAGGAACAGUGUUGUGGCUCAUGCCAUAUGAAUGGGCUCACUGGCCUGGCCCAGACCCUGACUGCCCACAGGAUCUUUGUUCAGAGAGGCACAGUCAAGGAAAUGCAUUUGAGGUCACUGUUCGAUGUACUUGAAGUACUCAUCCUGGAAAUAGUCUACUUGGAGUAGAGGGAGCUCAAGUGGGCAUGGGAACGUUGUGGAACCAGACCAGGAACAAAGGCGGCUUCAGAGGCCGUCUGUGAGGACUUGCAUGGGAGCAGGGGCGAGAACAUCCAGGGAAGAGAAGACAGAGAAACGGAGGCACAGAGAAGGAAGCGGCAGUUAAAGCUGCGAAGAACCUAACAAAUUUCAAGAUUGUAAGUGCCUUUUCCCAGGAUGCCAGCAAGUACUGAGUUACAGCCUGUAUUUUGAGCUGCAUCAAACCCUGUUGGAAUAAAAAAGGACAUUUCUAGGAGAUCAGUCUUCGAGAUUGGCCCCAGUUUCCCCAGAGUAGGAAGAGGCAGGAAGCCAGAGCACAUGUUCUCUCCAGAAAUAAAGUUGUUGCAGUGGCCUAACCGUGUCUUAGAGUUACUGAAAACUCUGUUCUCUUGAGAUUUCUCAAGAAAGGAAACCUAUCUUGCAAGACAAAACCCACCUGUAGUCAAUUCCUACAGGAAAUAAAUUCAAAAUAAUGUUUCAGGCAAGGGC
rnacentral:lncRNA from 10 species